rnacentral:rRNA from 1 species
GACGAACGCUGGCGGCGUGCUUAACACAUGCAAGUCGAACGGAAAGGCCCUUCGGGGUACUCGAGUGGCGAACGGGUGAGUAACACGUGGGUGAUCUGCCCUGCACUUUGGGAUAAGCCUGGGAAACUGGGUCUAAUACCGGAUAUACCUUAUGGACUGCAUGGUCUGUGGGGGAAAGCUUUUGCGGUGUGGGAUGGGCCCGCGGCCUAUCAGCUUGUUGGUGAGGUUAUGGCUUACCAAGGCGACGACGGGUAGCCGGCCUGAGAGGGUGACCGGCCACACUGGGACUGAGAUACGGCCCAGACUCCUACGGGAGGCAGCAGUGGGGAAUAUUGCACAAUGGGCGCAAGCCUGAUGCAGCGACGCCGCGUGAGGGAUGACGGCCUUCGGGUUGUAAACCUCUUUCAGCAGGGACGAAGCCCUUCGGGGUGACGGUACCUGCAGAAGAAGCACCGGCUAACUACGUGCCAGCCGCCGCCGUAACAC